AUGGACCAAUCCAUCCCUUUUUCCCGUGCAUAUGCAUCGGACUCGGAUGACGAUGGUCCCGAUGAAGAAGUUGAUGAGGAGGGGUUCACGCCGAAGGAGGCCCAAGCAUUCAAGAAGGUAUUCGGGCGGGAUCACAAGACACUAUUGUUCAAGGAUCUUAGUCUCGCGGAUGAAGCCGUUGUGGAUGGUGGCAAAUGCAUUUCUCUUGGAGCUAGGCCAAGUUCUCACCGUGAUUUGGAAGACGGCAAGAACGGGAUAUAUCCCGGUUGUGAGUUUGAAUCCUUCUUGGAAUUGAAGAUGUGGCUCGACAACUACUCGGUUACACAUUAUCGUCCACAUAAAGUGGCCAACUCGGACGUCAAUGUGCGUUACACGGUCAAAUGUGAAGUGCCAAGAUGUCCAUGGAUUGUGCGUGCGAGGCCAUGGAAAGGAGGUCCCAUUUGGCGCAUAGUGAGUUGUCUAUCAACUCACAUGUGCCGGCACAAGAAUGCGGAUGGCGAGCUUGUGUACCAACAACACAGACAACUCACGUCUGAGUUCAUUGCUUACAGGUUAUCCAACCAAAUAUCCACACUUCAAAUAAUGAGCAUCAAGAGUGUCAUUGACCUUGUGAAAGCCAUCUUUCAUUACAAGGUGAAGUACGGCAAGGCAUGGAAGGCGAAGCAAGCCGCAUUCAAGAUGCUGUAUGACAAUUGGAAGGAAGCAUACAACCGACUCCCUAGGUUGUUGUUAGCUAUGGCCGCCACAAACCAGCCAUGGUUCACGUGGUUGAGCCUCAUGGGCACCAAACUUUGA
rnacentral:rRNA from 1 species